UCCCUCCCCAGCUUUCCCGGAGCCCCUUUCAGGUAUUGGAAGCUGCUCUAAGGUCUCCCCUGAUCCUUUUCUUCUCCAGGCUUGAACAACCUCCAGUCUUUCAGCCUGUCCUCAUAGCAGAGGUGCUCCAGCCCUCAGAUCAUCUUUGUGGCUCUGGACUCAUUCUAACAGUUUCAUAUCUUCUUAUGUUGGCAAUUCCACCACUGAAUGCAAAACUCCAGGUGGGGUCUCAUGAAAGCAGAGGAGAGAGGGGAAAUUGCCAACCUCUCCCCACUGGUCCCACUGCUUUGGAUGUAGCCCAGGACACGGUUGGCUUUCUGGGCUGUGAGUGCGCGUUGCUGGCUCACGUCAAGCUUCUCAUCAAUCAGCACCCCAAGUCCUUCUCCUCAGGGCUGCUGUCAAUCACAUCAUCCUAAAGUCUGUGUUGAAACUGUGGAUUGUGCUGCCCCAGCUGCAGAACCUUGCACUUGGCCUUGUUGAACCUCAUGAAGUCCACACAGGCUCACAUCCCACCCAGGAAACCCCAGCUCAUCAUUCUGGCUGUUCCAAACCUCUUUCUGCCAGCCUCACCUGAUGCUUCUGGAUAUUUAGCAGAGCAUAAAUUACUUUUAUUGAAAGGAAGAUGGCUUUGGGCUUGCAACAGAAAUUCCUCGACCUCCUAGGUGUUUUUUUUUUUCAUUCUCUGGAGGAUUAACAAGGGAGGGAAACUGAGGCAUGGCCAUGGCAAGCAGUGUCCAGCUUUCCAGUUCCUUCCUCCAAGACUAGUGAGGCCAUCUGGAAAGACUGGGAGCUGCUGGGACUGUUUCAAAGGGGAACAGAGGGCAUCUGGAAGAACUGGUCCUUACUUCUGGCCUCCAGCGAUGAACAGCUGGAGGAAAGGUCUCCUCCAUGGGGUAAAGAGGCAGCAGGUCCCAGGCAAUGCGGAGAGAAGGAUUUGGCAUUGCUGGAGAAAAAAAAAAAAAACAAAGAGGCUUAUUUCCCCCAGCAAAACCCUAGAACUGUUGCGGUUUGGACUUUAUAUCCCAUUCCCCAAUUCAUUCUCCCCAUUCACCCGGAUCUGGAGCUGCCGCUUCCAUUUCCUCGCCAGUAACAAAGCAAAUAAACAGAUUUAUGUGAAAUCUCCACCUCUCCCCAACCCAAAAGCCAAUUUCUUCUUUGUUCCCUAGACAAUUCUUGUCACUUUUUCAGUUGCCUCUAAUGGAGAUGUCCAUCACGGAGCGCACCGUCGAGGACAUUAACCCAGAUAUGAUUCCAAGCAGGAAGGGAUGCAUUAAUGACCAUUUAAACCGGUGUAUGGAGCUGGUCUGGCUGAAGAUGAUGGGCUGGUUUCUCUUGCUGUCUCGACAGCAAUAGCAGCUGAAGGAUACUCGAGCCUCUGUCCGUCUUCUGCCUAGCAUGUCUCUCCCUGAGGCAGCUGGGUGAAGAUCCCUUCCGCUUACGAAUCCAGCCUGGCUGCAACCACGGCACCACGGGAAGGCUGGAAGGCAAGGAGUCCAGAGAUGCUGAGGGUGAUGUCCCUGGUGGUGUCCAACCUAUCAUCCCCAUCUAUGGUAAGCGAUGUCCCCCAGCAAGGGCUGGGGAUUACAAUGGUGGCCAGGGUUGGGAGAUCAGAGGAUGUUCUUCGGGAAGGCUUGCAAA